AUUGAACGCUGGCGGCAGGCCUAACACAUGCAAGUCGAACGAGUGGCGGACGGGUGAGUAAUAUCUGGGACACUGCCUGAUGGCGGGGGAUAACUACUCGAAACGGUAGCUAAUACCGCAUACCAUCAGAUGUGCCCAGAUGGGAUUAGCUUGUUGGUGGGGUAAAGGCUCACCAAGGCGACGAUCCCUAGCUGGUCUGAGAGGAUGACCAGCCAAACUGGAACUUAGGCACGGUCCAGACUCCGACGGGAGGCAGGAGUGGGGAAUAUUUGACAAUGGGGGCAAGCCUGAUGCAGCCAUGCCGCGUGUAUGAAGAAGGCCUUCGGGUUGUAAAGUACUUUCAGGGGGGAGGCGUUACCCGCAGAAGAAGCCCCGGCUAACUUCGUGCCAGCAGCCGCGGUAAGAC
rnacentral:rRNA from 1 species